rnacentral:rRNA from 1 species
UACAGAGGGGGCAAGCGUUGUUCGGAAUUACUGGGCGUAAAGGGCGCGUAGGCGGCCUUCUAAGUCGAACGUGAAAUCCCCGGGCUCAACCCGGGAACUGCGUCCGAUACUGGAUGGCUUGAAUCCGGGAGAGGGAUGCGGAAUUCCAGGUGUAGCGGUGAAAUGCGUAGAUAUCUGGAGGAACACCGGUGGCGAAGGCGGCAUCCUGGACCGGCAUUGACGCUGAGGAGCGAAAGCCAGGGGAGCAAACGGG